CCUACGGGUGGCUGCAGUGGGGAAUAUUGGACAAUGGGCGAAAGCCUGAUCCAGCCAUGCCGCGUGUGUGAAGAAGGCCUUCGGGUUGUAAAGCACUUUCAGUGGGGAAGAAAGCCUUGGGGCUAAUACCCUCGAGGAAGGACAUCACCCACAGAAGAAGCACCGGCUAACUCCGUGCCAGCAGCCGCGGUAAUACGGAGGGUGCGAGCGUUAAUCGGAAUUACUGGGCGUAAAGCGCGCGUAGGCGGUCUGAUAAGCCGGUUGUGAAAGCCCCGGGCUCAACCUGGGAACGGCAUCCGGAACUGUCAGGCUAGAGUGCAGGAGAGGAAGGUAGAAUUCCCGGUGUAGCGGUGAAAUGCGUAGAGAUCGGGGGAAUACCAGUGGCGAAGGCGGCCUUCUGGACUGACACUGACGCUGAGGUGCGAAAGCGUGGGUAGCAAACAGGAUUAGAUACCCGGGUAGUC
rnacentral:rRNA from 1 species